rnacentral:rRNA from 1 species
UACGGGGGGGGCUAGCGUUGUUCGGAAUUACUGGGCGUAAAGGGCGCGUAGGCGGCCUACUAAGUCGGACGUGAAAUCCCUCGGCUCAACCGGGGAACUGCGUCCGAUACUGGUGGGCUCGAAUCCGGGAGAGGGAUGUGGAAUUCCAGGUGUAGCGGUGAAAUGCGUAGAUAUCUGGAGGAACACCGGUGGCGAAGGCGGCAUCCUGGACCGGUAUUGAUGCUGAUGCGCGAAAGCCAGGGGAGCAAACGGG